rnacentral:lncRNA from 1 species
GUUCUCUGGGACUUUGCUCUUUGCUCUUUGACUAUUCUUUAUAUUAUACUGGAAUUGUUUUCUGUUUGUGAGAUUCUCUUCACAUUCUUUUUCUGCUCCUCAAUUCCAGACAUUGUGGCUUUUCCGAAACUAGAUGUUGAGGAAUUUAAAGCAAGAAUACUGUAGCAACCAGUGAGAUGCAUGGAAUAUUUAACUGUAGAAAAAUUGGCAUUCGGAUUAAUUCCUAUAGGCAUAGUUUUUGUGUGUAUAUCCAAAGGAUAAUGCCAUCCUUUGAGACUGUCUUGGAACAGUCAUUUGAAGUGACUGUCAAGGCCAAAAAAAAAAAAAAGAAGAAGAAUCAACAAAGACAACAAGAGUGGAGAUGAAGUGACUCUGCUAGGUGGAGUUAUUUAGCGAAGAGCAUUCUCUCCCUUUAUUAUGCAGCUGCCUCUGCUUUAAAAACAGAAACUUUUACAAGCUUUGUGGCAGAAUUCUUGGUUGAAAGUUGUGAAAGGAUUUUGAUCUAAAAUGGAACCAGAGGAUGUGAAACGGAGAAUCUCACGCAAGUGCCCUCAGAAGAACAGACCUUAAGAACUGAGAGACUGAUUUCCUGUAAAUGCCUGAUUCACAGAAGACGGAGACUUAUCUCCUGACCAGUGAACGUCCACCAAGAGUCUCUCCCCAUCCUCAAGCCAGGGAACUUACUGCUUGGACUCUGGCUGGACUUCCCCCCGCUUUGUAUUCCCUGCCCAUAAAUACAGCCCGCCCCAAACCCUCCAUGGACAAGCCUGUAGUUUGCUACAGCAUGUGUUUCCCAGAUUGCAAUUCCUCUGCUAAUACCAAAUAAACUCAAUUUCUGGUAAUUUGAGCUUGUUUGUUUACUUCUUUAUUUAGGUUGGCAAAGUUAUAGAAGCCAAACUCAAACUAGCUUAGGCAAAAUAGGAAAUCCACUUACACGGGUAACUGGGACGGACAAGGGUGGAAGCAGGAUUCAGGCACAGCUCUCUCCAAGGUUUCGCAUAUCCUCAGGGCUCACUCUGGGUCCCUAUCUCAGCUCUUUUCCCUCUGUACGCUGCCUCUUUUUCUCUUAAGCACACAGUUGUUUCAUGUAGCCAGGAAAGAUGGCCUUUUGCAGUUCCA